GAUGAAGAACGUAGCGAAAUGCGAUAAGUAAUGCGAAUUGCAGAAUUCAGUGAAUCAUCGAAUCUUUGAACGCACAUUGCGCCCGCCAGUAUUCUGGCGGGCAUGCCUGUCUGAGCGUCGUUUCGACCCUCGCGCCCGGCUUCUGUCGGGGGCGGUGUUGGGGAUCGGCCACACCCUUCAGUGGGAGGCCGGCCCCUAAAUUCAGUGGCGACCACGCGGUAGCCUCCCCUGCGUAGUACUAAAACCACCUCGCAGGCGGAGAGCGGUGCGGCCCGCCGUAAAACCCCCCAACUUUUACAAGGUCGACCUCAGAUCAGGUAGGAAUACCCGCUGAACUUAAGCAUAUCAAUAAGCGGAGGA
rnacentral:misc_RNA from 1 species